rnacentral:rRNA from 1 species
AGUGAACGCUGGCGGCGUGCUUAACACAUGCAAGUCGAACGAUGAAGCUCUAGCUUGCUAGAGUGGAUUAGUGGCGCACGGGUGAGUAAUGUAUAGCUAAUGUGCCCCUUAGAGGGGGAUAACAGUUGGAAACGACUGCUAAUACCCCAUACUCCUUCUUCCUAUAAGGGAAGUUGGGAAAGUUUUUUCGCUAAGGGAUCGGGCUAUAUGGUAUCAGCUUGUUGGUGAGGUAAUGGCUCACCAAGGCUAUGACGCCUAUCUGGUCUGAGAGGAUGAUCAGACACACUGGAACUGAGACACGGUCCAGACUCCUACGGGAGGCAGCAGUGGGGAAUAUUACACAAUGGAGGAAACUCUGAUGUAGCAACGCCGCGUGGAGGAUGACACAUUUCGGUGCGUAAACUCCUUUUAUAUGGGAAGAUAGUGACGGUACCAUAUGAAUAAGCACCGGCUAACUCCGUGCCAGCAGCCGCGGUAAUACGGAGGGUGCAAGCGUUACUCGGAAUCACU